rnacentral:rRNA from 1 species
UACGUAGGGGGCUAGCGUUGUCCGGAAUCAUUGGGCGUAAAGAGCGCGCAGGCGGCUGGUCAAGUCCGAUGUGAAAUCUCCCGGCUCAACUGGGAAACUGCAUCGGAAACUGAUCGGCUUGAAGGUGGGAGAGGGUAGUGGAAUUCCCGGUGUAGUGGUGAAAUGCGUAGAUAUCGGGAGGAACACCAGUGGCGAAGGCGACUACCUGGCCCAUUCUUGACGCUGAGGCGCGAAAGCUAGGGGAGCGAACGGG